USKWCCYUGUGUAUSAUGGUUUAAUUAAUAAAAAAUUUAAAUAAAGUUUCUAGAUCGAUUAAGAGCUAUAAUAAAAUGGUUAAGAACCAUUGUUGUUAAAAUGUGACAUUUAUUUAACAAAAAUCUUUUUAUAGAGGUGAGAUGCCAACGAUUAAUUAUAACUAGUUUUUUCAAAAUGUAGAAUUACAUUUAUUAUAGUUGUAAGGAUAAGCUUACAACUUUUAACCCACAUAAAAAUGAUUUUAUAGAAGGCUUGUAAAUAGCCACUGUUUUAUAGUUUGUUAAAAAAUAGGAUUAAUCUUAAUUUUAAAAUUUAAAUAAAUAAAAAUACUUUAAUACACAAUAUUAAAGAAAAUAAUGUUAAAAUUAGUACUGUAAAUUAAUAGAAAAUUUUUACAAAUUAUUAUAUUGAAAAGGAACUCGGCAAUAUUUUAUUUCGACUGUUUAUUAAAAACAUAACAAUAAGAAUUUAUUUAAUGCUAAGACUGCCCGGUGGCUUAUAAAGCUAAACGGCUGUGGUUUGAACCAUACAAAGGUAGCGUAAUCAUUUGUUCUUUAAUAGGGAACUAGAAUGAAUGUCCUAACGAAAAUAAAACUGUCUCUUCUCUAUAACAGAAAAUUAAUAUUGAAGUGAAGAAGCUUCUAUUAAAUAAAAAGACGAAAAGACCCUAUUGAAUUUUAAGAAUAAUUAAUUUUAUUAAUAUUUUUUAAGCUGGGGCAGUUUAGGAAAAAUUUUCUUUUAUUUCUAAAAUUUAUGGUGACCCUAUAACAUAGAUUUAAAGACCAAAUUACCAUAGGGAUAACAGUGUAGU
rnacentral:rRNA from 1 species